GUAGUCUCGCACAGAUGCAUAUCAAUAAGCGGAGGAAAAGAAACUAACAAGGAUUCCCUCAGUAACGGCGAGUGAAGCGGGAAGAGCUCAAAUUUGAAAUCUUGCAAGGUUUACCUUUACGAAUUGUAGUUUAAAGAAGUGUUUUCUGUUGAAGUUUUGGUAAAAGUUCUUUGGAAUAGGACAUCAUAGAGGGUGAGAAUCCCGUAUUUGACCAUUAUUUUCAGCUGUGUGAUACACUUUCAAAGAGUCGGAUUGUUUGGGAAUGCAGUCCAAAAUGGGUGGUAAAUUUCAUCUAAAGCUAAAUAUUGGCGAGAGACCGAUAGCGAACAAGUACCGUGAGGGAAAGAUGAAAAGAACUUUGAAAAGAGAGUUAAACAGUACGUGAAAUUGUCAAAAGGGAAGCGUUUGACACCAGUGUUGUUUUCUCGAAAAUCAAUUAAAAGAGUUAGAUUUUGUUGUGUAUUGACCUUAACAGCUUGCAUUUCAAUUUUCUUGCUUUUUUUAAUGCACUUUUCGUUUAACAAGUCAACAUCAGUUUCUUUUGUUGUAAAAAGGUCAUUGGAAGGUGGCUUUCUUUUCGGAGAAAGUGUUUAUAGCCUUUGACUCCUGCAAUCGGAGAGACUGAGGUCUGCAGCGUAGAUCCUUCGGGGUUAGAUACAUUUGUGCUAAGUUAUAGCUUUUUAUAGACAACUUGUUGACUAUGAUUAGUCUUGUAGCUUACUCGCUUAUGCUAUUUUACCUACGCUUAGGAUGUUGAGGAUGUAGCACAUCAU
rnacentral:rRNA from 1 species